GAAUGAAAUUGAAACGAAACAGAGAAGAACCAGGGGAGAAAGAAAGAAAGAAAAAGAAAAAGGAAAAUUUAGGGUUUGAAGGUUCAAAGUUAAUUUGGCAAUGUGGUACCGGAAAUCUCGGCUAAGAAAGGACAAGACAAAGUAAACGGGAGUUAGCUCGAAAAUUACAGUUAAGUUGAGGCUAGACUGUUGAAUCAGCAUCCCAGGCCGAUCCCGAAUUCAAUGAGUAUUGGCAGGUCGGCUCGGGGUUGGAGAUCGUCGGAGGCAAAAUCACACUAUCAAACUAUCAUUUUUAGGAGAAUUAGUUCAAAUUUUAGAAAUAUCAAGUGAAUGGCAUGUAUAGGAAGUUGGUUUGUGAUAUGUAUUAUUAUUAUGACUUUGACCAUACAUAUCAGUCUGCAUUGAGUUAUCGUAUAUGAUCAUGAGAUGUGGUCCUUAUCCAUUAUGGUUUAUAAGUUUAAUUAAUCAUGCC